UGUGUGCGCUGUGUGUCCAUGGUUGAUAUGAAGUUGCAGCCAGCUGAUUUAGGCUUCGCACAAAGAUUGGAAACAGGUGGAGGUCACAGUAGUCAGACUACAGAGUAGUGUAGUCCAUCACAUAGUUCAGCUUCAUCAUGGCUGGGAACCUGCAGCUACUCAUCCUCAUGUGUUUCUUUCUCGAGCUCAAAGCACAAGACCUUCCUCCUCCUAAUUUGAUGGUGAAUCAACAGGAGAUUGAAGAAACAGACUCAGUGUUUCUCAACUGUCAGACUCCAUCAUCUGUUUCUGUGUCUCAUUGUUAUUUCAACUUUUUAAGAGACAAACCAGCCAUACAUUUCUCCUGUCAGAAGACACUUUCAGCAACUGGACUUCUGUCACUGACACAGCAACGUUCACCUGCUACAGUUG